rnacentral:rRNA from 1 species
UACGGGAGGCAGCAGUGGGGAAUAUUGCACAAUGGGCGAAAGCCUGAUGCAGCUAUGCCGCGUGUAUGAAGAAGGCCUUAGGGUUGUAAAGUACUUUCAUCGGGGAGGAAAAAACAAAACUAAUAAUUUUAUUUCUUGACGUUACCCGAAAAAGAAGCACCGGCUAACUCCGUGCCAGCAGCCGCGGUAAUACGGAGGGUGCAAGCGUUAAUCGGAAUUACUGGGCGUAAAGCGCACGCAGGCGGUCUGUCAAGUCGGAUGUGAAAUCCCCGGGCUUAACCUGGGAACUGCAUUCGAAACUGGCAGGCUAGAGUCUUGUAGAGGGGGUAGAAUUCCAGGUGUAGCGGUGAAAUGCGUAGAGAUCUGGAGGAAUACCGGUGGCGAAGGCGGCCCCUGGACAAAGCUGACGCUCAGGGUGCGAAAGCGUGGGGAGCAAAC